AGCAUGUAGGCGGAGGUUCCAGGUAAAUCCGGUACCUUUUAACGCUGAGGUGUGAUGACGAGGCACUACGGUGCUGAAGUAACAAAUGCCCUGCUUCCAGGAAAAGCCUCUAAGCAUCAGGUAACAUCAAAUCGUACCCCAAACCGACACAGGUGGUCAGGUAGAGAAUACCAAGGCGCUUGAGAGAACUCGGGUGAAGGAACUAGGCAAAAUGGUGCCGUAACUUCGGGAGAAGGCACGCUGGUGUGUAGGUGAAGUCCCUGCGGAUGGAGCUGAGACCAGUCGAAGAUACCAGCUGGCUGCAACUGUUUAUUAAAAACACAGCACUGUGCAAACACGAAAGUGGACGUAUACGGUGUGACGCCUGCCCGGUGCCGGAAGGUUAAUUGAUGGGG
rnacentral:rRNA from 1 species